UUCAUCUAAAUUCAUCUUAUAAUACUAACAUAUAAUUAUUAAAAAUAAUAAUAGUAAAAAAACAUAAAUAAUAGUAAUAAUAAUAAUAAUAAUAAAAAAUAUUAAAAUAAAAAAGAGAGGAGGGUGGUAGCGCUGUUCAACAUCAACAUUGGUUUUUUUUUAAAAUUAAACACCCAAUGGUGUAUUGACACAUGACCAUUAAAAUAAUAAUAAUAAUAAUAAAAUAGAAAAAUAAGUAAACAAAAUUUAUGAAAACUGGCUGAAUAGAGAAUGAAAGAUAACUCUUCUUCUUUCCUUUUUUGUUUUGGCAUCUCUCACAAGAUACUCACUCAUCAUUCUAGCUUUAUCUAUGCUUCCAACUUUUGUAGCAACAACAAUAGCAUGCUCACACCAAAAUCAAAUUCAAACAAACUCUAAAAAAACAAAUUACAAAUCGGUACUAACAUAAGGAAGUAAGAGGAUACCGAUUGGGAAUGAGGAAAUGAUAACGGUGGCGGAUAUUUCUCUUUGUUGCACGGUGAAGAUAGAUGGUCGGAAACGACGGUGUCUUAGAGGUGUAUGUCUUGAUGAAGGUGAGUAGCAAGUGUUAUUUUGUUGUAUAUGUGGUUAGUUAUAUUACUGUUGGGUUUUUUCGUGAGGUUUUUUUAUGGUAUUUGAAGAGUAAGGAUGAGGUUUUGAAAUGAUAAAAAAGGAGAGUUGUUUGAGUUUAAGUGUGGAGUUUCGCAUGGUGGUCAACAUGGUGUUAAUGGUGGAGUUUUUUAUGGUUAUUUUUUUUUGGUGUUUGGAGGAGAUAAUGAGGUUAAUGAAAAAAAGAAAAUGUACAUGAACUUUCUGAAAUACCAACAAUGUCCUUAAUGAGUGUUAUUAGAGACAAAAACAAUAAAAACAAAUUAAAACUAAAUAAAAUUAAACACAAAAAAAAUAAUUACAAUAAAAUCAACACAAAAAUACAGUUAAUUCUAUUUAAUUAUUUAGGAUACUUUGACAAAAAAAUAAAAAUAAAAGGAUUCAAAAUGAAUAAAAGUCGGGCACAAAAGUGUUC
rnacentral:lncRNA from 1 species